rnacentral:rRNA from 1 species
GAUGAACGCUGGCGGCGUGCUUAACACAUGCAAGUCGAACGGACAGGCCCUGCUUUUGCGGGGUGCUCGAGUGGCGAACGGGUGAGUAUCACGCGAGUAUCCUGCCCCUAACUUUGUGAUAACCUCAGGAAACUGGGGCUAUUACCGCAUAGGAGCUCUUGCCCCAUGGUGGGGGUUGGAAAGUUUCGGCGGUUGGGGUUGGAAUCGCGGCUUAUCGGCUUGUUGGUGGGGUAGUGGCUUACCAGGGUUUAGGGGGAUACCCGGCUAGCGAGGGUGACCGGCCACAUUGGGAAUGAGGUACGGCCCAGACUCGUACGGGAGGCAACAGUGGGGUAUAUUGCACAGUGAGCGGAAGCCUGAUACAACAACGCCGCGUGCGGGAUGACGGCCUUCGGGUUGUAAACCGCUUUCGCCUGUGACGAAGCGUGAGUGACGGUAAUGGAUAAAAAAGCACCGGCUAACUACGUG